rnacentral:rRNA from 1 species
CCGGCACGGGUGAGUAACGCGUAUCCAACCUGCCUUACACUCUUGGACAGCCUUCUGAAAGGGAGAUUAAUACAAGAUGGCAUCAUGAGUCCGCAUGUUCACAUGAUUAAAGGUGUUCCGGUAGACGAUGGGGAUGCGUUCCAUUAGAUAGUAGGCGGGGUAACGGCCCACCUAGUCUUCGAUGGAUAGGGGUUCUGAGAGGAAGGUCCCCCACAUUGGAACUGAGACACGGUCCAA